CCUACGGGUGGCAGCAGUGAGGAAUAUUGGUCAAUGGGCGCGAGCCUGAACCAGCCAAGUCGCGUGAAGGAUGACUGCCCUACGGGUUGUAAACUUCUUUUAUCAAGGAAUAAAGUGAGGCACGGGUGUCUUUUUGGAUGUACUUUAUGCAUAAGGAUCGGCUAACUCCGUGCCAGCAGCCGCGGUAAUACGGAGGGUCCGAGCGUUUUACGGGUUUAUUUGGUUUAAAGGGUGCGUAGGGGGUGCGGUAAGUCAGUGGUGAAAUGCCCGCGCUCAACGGGGUGAAGUGCCAUUGAUACUGGCUGGCGAGAGUGCGGAUGAGGUGGGAGGAAUGUGAGGUGUAGCGGUGAAAUGCAUAGAUAUCACGCAGAACACCGAUUGCGAAGGCAUCUGACGGGUCCGCGAUUGACGCUGAUGCACGAAAGCGUGGGUAUCAAACAGGAUUAGAUACCCUAGUAGUC
rnacentral:rRNA from 1 species